ACAGAUCUGGCGUUUAAACAAAAGCAGAAGGAGGAGCAAAAGAAACUUGAGGAGAUGAAAGCAAAGGCUGCUGGAAAAGGGCCCCUCGCCAGUGGUGGAAUAAAGAAGUCUGGCAAAAAGUAGCGUGAUCGAGCUACAAUGUAAGGUGUGAUCGAAUUGUUCAAUGGCCGUGCAACAUUCAGAACAUCAAGACAACUCGCUAGCGCUUAGAAUUACAAGUUAUAUACAGACCUCAGGAAUGCAGAAGGCAUUAUGACCACGCGGAGUACUCGCCACAACUAUCACUAGAUAACAUUCUGCACUUCCCGUCUCUGAAGUCAGGAGAUUAUGUAGGUAACAUUCCUUAAAAUGUUUUUGUAUUUAGCAGCAGAAGGCCUGCCAUUUCCAUUCCGUUUCUACAGAUAUUACUGAACUUGUAGUACCUCCAAACCAGAAGCUAUACCCCAAAGUUCAGGCAUUAGUGGCAAAGAAUAAACACAUACACUAAACUAGAUAAGCA
rnacentral:lncRNA from 1 species